CUGUACCGGGUGAUCGCCUGGUUCAUGAAUCAACGCUCCUGGCUGACGGGUAUCGCCACUGGCG
rnacentral:tRNA from 1 species